UACGUAGGGUGCAAGCGUUAAUCGGAAUUACUGGGCGUAAAGCGUGCGCAGGCGGUGAUGUAAGACAGGUGUGAAAUCCCCGGGCUCAACCUGGGAACUGCAUUUGUGACUGUAGAGCUGGAGUACGGUAGAGGGGGAUGGAAUUCCGCGUGUAGCAGUGAAAUGCGUAGAUAUGCGGAGGAACACCGAUGGCGAAGGCAAUCCCCUGGACCUGUACUGACGCUCAUGCACGAAAGCGUGGGGAGCAAACAGG
rnacentral:rRNA from 1 species